rnacentral:snRNA from 2 species
AUGCCUUUCUCGGCCUUUUGGCUAAGAUCAAGUGUAGUAUCUAUUCUUAUCAGUUUAAUAUCUGAUAUGUGAGUUAUCGACUCACACGAUAUUAAAUCUAUUUUUUGAGGGGGAGGGUCCAUCACAAUAGCUUGGUAUUGGAAUCUUCAAGCAUUGCUUUGGUGUUGCAUUAUAACCUUGGCUUGGCGCACCCCAC